AUCUUGAGCCUAAAUACCCUAAAAUCAGCAGAUCCUUUCAGAUCUUGGAAGCUAAGUAGGGUCAGUCCUGGUUAUUAUUUGGAGGAGAGGUCACAAAUGAAUCCCUGGUGCUGUAGGCU
rnacentral:rRNA from 1 species